AAUGCCUAGGAAUCUGCCUGGUAGUGGGGGAUAACGUUCGGAAACGGACGCUAAUACCGCAUACGUCCUACGGGAGAAAGCAGGGGACCUUCGGGCCUUGCGCUAUCAGAUGAGCCUAGGUCGGAUUAGCUAGUUGGUGAGGUAAUGGCUCACCAAGGCGACGAUCCGUAACUGGUCUGAGAGGAUGAUCAGUCACACUGGAACUGAGACACGGUCCAGACUCCUACGGGAGGCAGCAGUGGGGAAUAUUGGACAAUGGGCGAAAGCUUGAUCCAGCCAUGCCGCGUGUGUGAAGAAGGUCUUCGGAUUGUAAAGCACUUUAAGUUGGGAGGAAGGGUUGUAGAUUAAUACUCUGCAAUUUUGACGUUACCGACAGAAUAAGCACCGGCUAACUCUGUGCCAGCAGCCGCGGUAAUACAGAGGGUGCAAGCGUUAAUCGGAAUUACUGGGCGUAAAGCGCGCGUAGGUGGUUUGUUAAGUUGGAUGUGAAAUCCCCGGGCUCAACCUGGGAACUGCAUUCAAAACUGACUGACUAGAGUAUGGUAGAGGGUGGUGGAAUUUCCUGUGUAGCGGUGAAAUGCGUAGAUAUAGGAAGG
rnacentral:rRNA from 1 species